AAUCACCUAGUUUAAAUAUAAAACUUUUGAUUUGAAAUCAAAAAAUAAGAAAAUCUCUUAGUGAUUU
rnacentral:tRNA from 1 species